rnacentral:rRNA from 1 species
AAACCGCCUAGAGGUAAACGGGUGGAUCCGCAAAGUCGGCCCGCGGAAUUCAGCUCGGAAGGCUGCGCGCCUGUCGGUGGGUCGGGGAUCUUUGUCGACCCUCCCGCCGCAGGACGCGCGUCGGCCGUGUGCACUUUCCGCGGGCAGAGCGCCACGACCGGUUCUCGAGCGGUCAGAAGGUGGCGGGGAUGGUAGGCGGGCGCCUCGGCGCUCGCUGGUAUAGCCCCGCUUGUCCCGAUCCGCUUGGGGACCGAGGAGCCGCCGUCGGUGUAGGCCGCCCCGCCUUCACGGGAUGUUCGACUGGCAGAGACUGGGCAACCGUGUCUGCCGACCGCUUUUCGUGAUGGACGGGGUGGGCCCGCCGGCACAGGGUCGGUGGCGAAUCGGUCGGCCCUCCACCCGACCCGUCUUGAA